rnacentral:rRNA from 1 species
CAACAGGGAUUGCCUUAGUAACUGCGAGUGAAGCGGCAAAAGCUCAAAUUUGAAAUCUGGCGUCUUCGGCGUCCGAGUUGUAAUUUGGAGGGGCAUCUUCGGAGUUGGCGCCGUCCUAAGUUCCUUGGAACAGGACGUCAUAGAGGGUGAGAAUCCCGUGCCUGGAUGGCUGUCCAUCUCCAUGUGAAGUGUCUCCGACGAGUCGAGUUGUUUGGGAAUGCAGCUCAAAAUGGGUGGUAAAUUUCAUCUAAAGCUAAAUAUUGGCGAGAGACCGAUAGCGCACAAGUAGAGUGAUCGAAAGAUGAAAAGCACUUUGAAAAGAGAGUUAAAAAGUACGUGAAAUUGUUGAAAGGGAAGCGCUUGAGAUCAGACUCAAUCUUUGGUGAUCAGCUGUGCUUCUGUACAGUGCACUUGCCUUUGAUUGGGCCAGCAUCGGUUCUGACGGCGGGAUAAAAGGUGGAGGAAUGUGGCUCUCUUCGGGGAGUGUUAUAGCCUCUGUCACAAUGCCGCCAGUUGGGACCGAGGACCGCGCUUCGGCUAGGAUGCUGGCGUAAUGGUCUUAAGCGACCCGUCUUGAAACACGGACCAAGGAGUCUAACAUCUAUGCGAGUGUUCGGGUGGAAAACCCUUGCGCGUAAUGAAAGUGAACGGAGGUGUGAACCCCUCGGGGUGCAACAUCGACCGAUCCUGAUGUCUUCGGAAGGAUUUGAGUAAGAGCAUAGCUGUUGGGACCCGAAAGAUGGUGAACUAUGCCUGAAUAGGGUGAAGCCAGAGGAAACUCUGGUGGAGGCUCGCAGCGGUUCUGACGUGCAAAUCGAUCGUCAAAUUUGGGUAUAGGGGCGAAAGACUAAUCGAACCAUCUAGUAGCUGGUUCCUGCCGA